GACGAACGCUGGCGGCGUGCUUAACACAUGCAAGUCGAACGGAAAGGCCCUGCUUUUGUGGGGUGCUCGAGUGGCGAACGGGUGAGUAACACGUGAGUAACCUGCCCUUGACUUUGGGAUAACUUCAGGAAACUGGGGCUAAUACCGGAUAGGAGCUCCUGCUGCAUGGUGGUGGUUGGAAAGUUUCGGCGGUUGGGGAUGGACUCGCGGCUUAUCAGCUUGUUGGUGGGGUAGUGGCUUACCAAGGCUUUGACGGGUAGCCGGCCUGAGAGGGUGACCGGCCACAUUGGGACUGAGAUACGGCCCAGACGCCUACGGGAGGCAGCAGUGGGGAAUAUUGCACAAUGGGCGGAAGCCUGAUGCAGCAACGCCGCGUGCGGGAUGACGGCCUUCGGGUUGUAAACCGCUUUCGCCUGUGACGAAGAGUGAGUGACGGUAAUGGGUAAAGAAGCACCGGCUAACUACGUG
rnacentral:rRNA from 1 species